UGCUAUUAUCCUCUGUGAUUAUUUUGACUUGCUUUGAAAUGUUUAUUCAAAUAGUUACAUGAAUGACUAAUCAAAAGGAUUGUUCAAACUGCCUUACAGAUGUGAAACACCUUCACAAUAAUAACAAGGUUUGCGAGGAACCCGUAUUAUGCUUUUAAUUGCUUUUGUCAGUCAAAAAUAUCAACUGAGUACCCAGUUGAAGCUGAAUGCUGCAUGGAAGCUGGGAGAUGGCAAGAGAAAGAAAGCCCAGAAAACCCUCGAAUAACUUGAAUGCUUGAGACAUAUAUGCUCUGAUGACCUAGGUUUUCAGGCAACAGCGGUAAACUUCCAGAGCAACGUCCACAUUGUGAGGACACGUGGAUUCUGCCCGAGGUCACAAAAAGUGCACGUGGACCCUCAGCCCAGAUGGCUAGGUAGAAGGCCCAUUGAGAAGCUGGAAGUUCUCAAUCUGUUGAAAUCCAUGGAGAUUUUCCUUCUUGUGAGUCUUCCACUCACUGUACUGCGUAGACGAGAGUCUUUACAGCAGGUCUGCGGUUUAAAAUCCUGUAGUUCAGCAAGGAGUGCGAUGGAGGCUGGCCUGCUUUGUCGUGCAUCCAUUUGGAUUUUCUCUGUUGAGAACCCCAAGAAAGUCCUCAGGGAGCAGAGGAGAGAACUGUAAUAAAAUGAUAAUGAGGGGGCCCAGGACCCUCACAAAGGGACUGUUGCUAUAAGUAGUUACUUCAAGGAAGUUUCCUGCUGCUUCUCCAGUCCUUGUUGGAUUUGUUGAUGCCAAACCAAAGCGUGUGGAUGCAGCCCCCUCAGAGCCUGAGAGAAAAGUGUGCUGAGAGGCAGGCUUAGAAAUGGAAACAGAGGAAGUGGCUUUUCUCCUCCUCUCUUUGGUGUAACCGGAGUGUCUUCACAGCCUGCUUCCAGGUGUGCAUGCCUGCUGUGCUCUGGGACUGCUGAGCCGGACCAUGCCUGAGCCACGGGCCAUCUUUUUGGCAUAAGAAGGCUGUUAAGCCUCGCUGGCCCUGCCCCCAGAUUUUCACCCCACCCCUGACAUCUCAUCUCUCAGCCGUGUAGAAGAGGCGGGGAAGGCCGAACAUGCCUCCAAAGACAGAGGAGGUUUCAUCUGAAGACCUGAAAAGACUUCCUGUCAAUGGCUUCAUCUCAAGCUUAAUAGAGCUUCGCUUGUUUCACCACAUGAGCCACAUGGCCAUGCUGGAGAGAAUGGCAGUCCUUAAAGAGCAUGCCCUAAAGGGAAGAGUUGACAACUGCUAACAGUUUCUCUUGCCAUAUUGAACACCAGAGCCCUUGGCGCCAUUGCCCCAUAGUGCCUAUAGUCUUGUUUCUGAUGCCCAGAAAAAUUCCCUCCACUCGGACUGCACUGAUCACACAUCCUCAGGGCCUACUGUGUAAAAAUGCAUUACAUGUACUAUCUCAUUUAAUUCGCACAACUAUCCUAUGAACGACUAUCAUUAUCUCCAUCUCAUUACCUACAUUUAAGAGAAACAAUAGUGGCUUAUAAGUCACACAUCUGCCAUAUGGAUUCAGAAUUUGAACCUGUGCUCCUAACUUCUUUACUGUUAGGUGAGGAAGAGGUUGGAGCUCCCCCUAGUGGUCAUCCUGUGAAAUCAACCGUUCCUACAGUGAUUGAUUUCUGCCUAAUUGCCUCCCCUCUUCCAUUGUUGCAUCCAGUCCCUACCCAAUCUCUUCUUCCCAAAGUCUGGCCCUUAGAGUCUUCAGUCCCAAAUUUCAUCAUCUCUCCACCUUAGCCCUUAUUUUCAUCUCUAUCCAGAGAGGCCCUAAACUCUUGUAUUUAUCUGAUUUCAAGCAGUUCACCCUAUCCCUUGGGGAGCUUUAUAUUAAAAAACAAAUAAACAAACAAUCUAAAAGCAAAAGCAAAAACAAAACAAAACAGAACAAAAGACCUCACAGGUCUCUCCAUAUAAUUCUUUGUACAUCCUUCCAUCUCUGGAUUUGGCAGCCUCUUCUCUGAAGAUAGCAUUUCUCUUCUAAUCCUCUCCAACGUAUCUUUCUCUUAGUCCUUUGCCUUCACUGAACAAACGGUGGGGAUGGCACGCACCAUCUCCCGAGACUUCUGCCCACCAUCGUUGUGUCACAUUUAUCAAUAAGCUUGCCAAGCUGAAAUUCACAUACCAGUGUUUAUAACACUUUCUUGCUUGCCUUAGUGACCCCAGCACUUGGCUCACAGACUUCCUUUCCUUGCUAAAGUUCGAGGAACUCCGACAUAAAGACUGAUCAUUCUCCCGACUCCUCACUCAGGCACAGAUCAAGUUCCGUAUCCUCAGGGAGUUCUGUCUUGCUUCCACAGAGUGGCUCACUUGGGUGAUGCGAAUGAUCACCUUGGGCAGAUCGGCAUUAACUUCUCUGGAGCUAAUGAAACGAAGUUUGAAUUCUAGGCCAGUGGCUGCGUGCCUCUGAGCAAAUGGUUUAUCUGUCGUCGUGUUCCUUAACUUAUUCACAUGUAAAGUGGGCUAAUAAUAAAUACCCUACUCACUGG